GGCUGGAUGGUCAAACGGAAUGACGUCCCUUUAAAUCUUUUCGGGAAAGGACAGGUUCAACUCCUGUACUGGCCA